rnacentral:rRNA from 1 species
UACGAAGGGUGCAAACGUUGCUCGGAAUUAUUGGGCGUAAAGCGCGCGUAGGCGGCUAUCUAAGUCGGAUGUGAAAUCCCUCGGCUUAACCAAGGAAGUGCACCCGAAACUGGAUAGCUUGAGUACAGAAGAGGAUCGCGGAAUUCCCGGUGUAGAGGUGAAAUUCGUAGAUAUUCGGCGGAACACCAGUGGCGAAGGCGACUCACUGGCCCGAUACUGACGCUGAGGCGCGAAAGCGUGGGGAGCAAACAGG